UACGUAGGGUGCGAGCGUUAAUCGGAAUUACUGGGCGUAAAGCGUGCGCAGGCGGUUUUGUAAGUCUGACGUGAAAUCCCCGGGCUUAACCUGGGAAUUGCGUUGGAGACUGCAAGGCUGGAGUCUGGCAGAGGGGGGUAGAAUUCCACGUGUAGCAGUGAAAUGCGUAGAGAUGUGGAGGAACACCGAUGGCGAAGGCAGCCCCCUGGGUCGAGACUGACGCUCAUGCACGAAAGCGUGGGGAGCAAACAGG
rnacentral:rRNA from 1 species